GAAUACCAGCAUAUGAUGUUCAAGAUGGUAUGAAAAAUUCUUGAAAACCAGGAGCUAAUUAUUGCUGUAAAUAAACAACCCCAUAGUAAUUUGGCAGUUAAGCAAUUAGAGACUAUAGCAGAAUACAAAGAUUUUGUCAAAUAUUUAGAGGAUGAUUCAGUUCGCCUAUAUUUGGUUAAACAACUGAGUUUUUUAGGUGCAGAAGAUUAUAAACAGCUGACAAGAUUGGUUAUGAAUAGAUUAUUUACAAAUACCCUAUUGGCACAGUUUAAUUUAAAAGGUUCUGGUGGAAAAAUUGGUUUAUUAUCAGCGAAGCUAUAUGGUGUAAUAGAAGUUAUUUACUUCGCCAAAGCCCGAGGGGGUCACUACAGUCGAGGAGGCUACUAGUUUUUUUAAUUUUUUUUAUUUUUAUUGUAAAUCGUGGUACAACCCUCUCUCAACUCUUUAACUCCGAAACACGAAUCUUGACGAGCAAGGCCGCUGCACGGAGAAAUUAAGUUGAGCGCGGUACUUCCAGAAAUGCGGUGGGAGUCGAACUUCGAACCUCUUGCAUACAGAGCGAGCGCUCUUACCGCUACACCACUACUGCAUAUUUUAUGUGGCAAGUUUACAUUUUAUUAUUUGGCAAGUAUUUGUAAAUUUUAAUUUAUUGUAACAAGAAGGUUUGGAAAAGUUUUCAAAUUCUGAUAUAAGACAGCAAAUCGGAAGAUAUUGUAAAAAUGCUCUAUCACGGAAAAAUAGAAACUAAAAUUUAUUUUU